UACGUAGGGUGCAAGCGUUGUCCGGAAUUAUUGGGCGUAAAGAGCUCGUAGGCGGUUUGUCGCGUCGAAUGUGAAAACCCGGGGCUCAACCCCGGGCCUGCAUUCGAUACGGGCAGACUAGAGUUCGGUAGGGGAGUCUGGAAUUCCUGGUGUAGCGGUGAAAUGCGCAGAUAUCAGGAGGAACACCGGUGGCGAAGGCGGCCUUCUGGACAGUGACUGACGCUGAGACGCGAAAGCGUGGGGAGCAAACAGG
rnacentral:rRNA from 1 species